UCGAAGGUAGCAUAAUCAGUAGUUUUUUAAUUGGAAACUUGUAUGAAUGGUUAAAUGAAAUAUAGACUGUCUCAAAUUAAAUUAUUGAAUUUAACUUUUAAAUGAAAAGGUUUAAAUUUUUUUAAAAGACGAGAAGACCCUAUAGAGUUUUAUGAUUUAAAAAUUAGUAUAAAUUUAUUUAUAAGUGUUAUUUUGAUAAUUUAAAUUAUUUUAUUGGGGUGAUAAUAAAAUUUAUUGAACUUUUAUUUUAAUUUUCAUUUAUUUAUGAUUAAAUUGAUCCAGUUUUAUUGAUUAAUAGAAUAAAUUACCUUAGGGAUAACAGCAUAAUUUUUUUUGAAAGUUCAUAUUAAUAGGAAAGAUUAUGACCUCGAUGUUGGAUUAA
rnacentral:rRNA from 1 species